AUGGGUUUUAAUCGGCGAGCAUGAGCAGCUCACAAUCUUACACACGCUUCGGGGACGAAAACUACAAAAACUGGUUGAAAACAACGGAGAGUCUUUCCAUACUGAGGAACUGCAUUAAGGACUUCAUUGAAAAGGAAACCGAAACUUAUCACAACUCUCUUCGAAACAAACCGGAGCUCAAUGGACAGACCUGUAAGAAAACGUGCGCUUUUAAGAAUAAGAAGGUACCGUCUCUCUGCGAAUUGUGUAAAUGCUGGAAGAAAGAAAUUGAGGCCAAAUAUAAUGGGGCGAGUAUACACUGGGACAACUGCCGGCCACAUCUCUGGUCCACAGAAAAGUGGGAAGUUGCCAAGGCGUAUAUGCCACGUGGGCACAGCAAACAUUGCCAGUUUUCCCAGUUUGAUGUCUCUGCCAUCCUGAACUUAAUGAGUUCCUGUAAACAUUUCAAAAACAUCCCAGGGAAAAGUGUGACAGAUGUCAUAAAUGUACGGAACUGUGCGAUGCACUCCCCUGACUUGAAAAUGAGUAAAGAGGAAAUGAUCAGGCAUCAUAAUACAGUCCUGCAGCUGGCCAAGAUACUCGAACCUCUUAUCCCGCGACUGAAAGGCUUGGAAAAGGAGAUAACACAGUUUAAUAACAUCUUGGACAGGAAUUUCAAUGAAGCCCCAUGUGAAGUAGACGGCCAACAGGUCGAUCUUCAGACCAUGAAAGUUCUGGACCGUGAGCAGCAAGCAUUGAAAGACAGGAUUGAAGACUUUAUCUCACGCUUUGAGGGGAACCUAGACGAAAAUGUUGAAGGAAAACCACAGGACAUGAAGAGUCUCCUGGACUUCCUGGACCAAAACAAAGAUCUCCUGGUGAACCUGGGCCCUGAAGUCGACAAACUUAAAGAAAUGCAGGCAAAAGUAGAUCAACAUGAGGAGCAAAUCCACAACCUGGCAGAUAGAGUGGAGAACCUGGAGAAGGGGACACAUGAUCCUGUUCUUCCUGUCAACCCACUUAGAUUCAAGAAUCAUCUUUAUGAAUAUUGUCGUGCAAAGAAAUGGCCAGAGGACAAAUAUCCCGUUUUUUCAGAGUUUCAGGAAGCACAGGGUUAUAGGGCUGAAGUGAAGGUAAAUGGGCAAACUUUCAUUGGCACAAAGGUGUUUAAUGACAAAAAGGGCGCCCAUCAGGAGGUGGCAUACAUUGCACUUGAGCAGCUGAAAUUACAGGACGAAAGCACAGAUGAAUCAUCAAGCUCAGUCACACAGCCUGAGGUCCCCUGCUCAACUUCCUCAGGAAUCACUUUCUUUAGUAAAGUGACUGUGGAUCUUGAUCAAGACGUUGCGUCUGAUAGAUGCUCUUCAAAGGAAGAAGCAACUGAAGCCGCUUAUAAGGAUUUAUGGGAAAGAUUUCGCAUCAGUGCUCCAGCAAAAGGUCGGACAUACAGGUCAUUGAUCAUGGAAUAUUUCCGCACACAGUGUUUCCAAAACCCGACAGAACACUUUAUUCAAAAUGAUGAUGACACAACCAUUUGCAAGCUCAAACUCAUCGGCCCUUUUACUUUUUAUGACAAAGAUGGCUCCACCAAGAAAAAACAGGCUGAGCAACAGGCAGCUAAAGUUGCUCUGCAGCAUCUGUCAGGGAUCCUCAACGGUGCUCCAAUAUCAGACACUGAGAAGAACUUCAAAGGUGAACUGAAGGAGCGUCUAGAUAAGCUGGGUCUCAAAAGUCCCGUUUAUGACACAGAGAAAAAAACAGAGAUCAGUGAUGAGCAUGUGACCAGUGGUAUCAGCUCGGGCCUGGCUACUUCUGCAGUAUCUAUCGGUCAGGCAGCAGAGAAAGAUCGUUCAGAGCUGAAGUCUAAAAGCAUCUCCACAACAGCACAACUCCCAUCAGGACAAGAGCCAGUCCGUGUUCCUGUUCCUGUUCCUGUUCCUGUUCCUGUUCCUGUUCCUGUUCCUGCGCUGCCGGAGCCUCAAGAAUCCAGUUCUCCAGCCGCACAGAAGAAAAAGCCCAGGAUUGAUUGUCCAGGAAUCACUUUCUUUAGUAAAGUGACUGUGGAUCUUGAUCAAGAAGUUGCGUCUGAUAGAUGCUCUUCAAAGGAAGAAGCAACUGAAGCCGCUUAUAAAGUUUUAUGGGAAAGAUUUCGCAUCAGUGCUCCAGCAAAAGGUCAGACGUAUAGGUCAGUGAUCAUGGAUCAUUUCGACACCAAUGAUUUACAAAAGCCAACAGAAGCGUUUGUUGAUGAUGACAACACAGCUAUCUGCAAACUCAAAUUCAAGGGACCUUUCACUUUUUAUGACAAAGAUGGCUCCACCAAUAAAAAACAGGCUGAGCAACAGGCAGCUAAAGUUGCUCUGCAGCAUCUGUCAGGGAUCCUCAACGGUGCUCCAAUAUCAGACACUGAGAAGAACUUCAAAGGUGAACUGAAGGAGCGUCUAGAUAAGCUAGGUCUCAAAAGUCCCGUUUAUGACACAGAGAGAAAAACAGAGAUCAGUGAUGAGCAUGUGACCAGUGGUAUCAGCUCGGGCCUGGCUACUUCUGCAGUAUCUAUCGGUCAGGCAGCAGAGAAAGAUCGUUCAGAGCUGAAGUCUAAAAGCAUCUCCACAACAGCACAACUCCCAUCAGGACAAGAGCCAGUCCGUGUUCCUGUUCCUGUUCCUGUUCCUGCGCUGCCGGAGCCUCAAGAAUCCAGUUCUCCACAGAGGAAAAAGCCCAGGAUUGAUUGUUCAGAAAUCAAUGAGCUUUUUAAUGUAUAUAAUCUCAAGCCCCCACAUGUGAAGAUGGAGAACAUGACGUGUAAUGAGAAUUUUAAAUGUAGUGUGGAAAUCAACCUGGAAAAAUAUACUUAUGUUAACAAACAAGGCUACGACAGCAAGAAAGAAGCCACUCGAAAAGCCUACCUGUUGUUUGGCUGUGCAGUGUCAAUUUUCGAUUCUAGUACAGAUGAAAAGACAUCCAGUGCGAAGGUGAAGCAGGUUUUUUCUCAGAAUUCUCUUCCUCUUCCACAAGAAGAUUUUGAAGGCUCUGUAAAGCCAUUUUACUGCUCACUGAAGAACAUAAGUUACAAAGUUAUCUAUACAGGACAAGGGUCCUCAGAGGGUGAAGCCAAGUUGGUUGCUUUCCAGAAUGCCUUGCGUUCACUAUCACCCCUCUUUGGUUAUGAUUCACUAACUGGAGCUGAAAGUACUGAAGAGGUGCAGAAUCAGCUGAGCUCUAUGCUGAAGGGGGCCGGUCAGAAAGACCCCGUCAUUUCCCUGAAGCCUGUGGAACAGGCCAACAUCCAGCUGUCGUUCUGUGACUAUACGCUGAAGUGCUCAUGCCAGAGCUCCAAGAGAGCAGCUCGGAAUCAUCUCAGUGCACGAAUACUGGGCCUUCUGGGGGUAAAGGCAGUUCUCAACCUCUUACAGAAGCAAACGAUGUAUCUAUGAGAAACCGUUUAGAUGAGUGGUUCAAACAGCAGAAUCUGCCACAGCCAGUGUUUGAGGACACAGAAGAAGUGCUUGGAGCGAAGGCUACUUUCUCUGUCCGGCUCGCCUGCAACAGUUCAGACUGGGAAGACAGCUGGGAUACAGCGAAGAUGAAUCUGCUUCAAGUGCUCAAGCUAAGAUUUAGGUUUUUGGAUGACAAAAACAAUUGAAAUCUAUUUUAGC